AGUGAACGCUGGCGGUAGGCCUAACACAUGCAAGUCGAACGGCAGCACAGUAAGAGCUUGCUCUUACGGGUGGCGAGUGGCGGACGGGUGAGGAAUACAUCGGAAUCUACUUUUUCGUGGGGGAUAACGUAGGGAAACUUACGCUAAUACCGCAUACGACCUACGGGUGAAAGCAGGGGAUCUUCGGACCUUGCGCGAUUGAAUGAGCCGAUGUCGGAUUAGCUAGUUGGCGGGGUAAAGGCCCACCAAGGCGGCGAUCCGUAGCUGGACUGAGAGGAUGAUCAGCCACACUGGAACUGAGACACGGUCCAGACUCCUACGGGAGGCAGCAGUGGGGAAUAUUGGACAAUGGGCGCAAGCCUGAUCCAGCCAUACCGCGUGGGUGGAGAAGGCCUUCGGGUUGUAAAGCCCUUUUGUUGGGAAAGAAAAGCAGCAGGUUAAUACCCCGCUGUUCUGACGGUACCCAAAGAAUAAGCACCGGCUAACUUCGUG
rnacentral:rRNA from 1 species